rnacentral:rRNA from 1 species
GACGAAGGAUGCAAGCGUUAUCCGGAUUCAUUGGGUUUAAAGGGAGCGUAGGUGGCCUUAUAAGUCAGUGGUGAAAUCUCUCAGCUUAACUGAGAAAUUGCCAUUGAUACUGUAGGGCUUGAGUACAGAUGCCGUUGGCGGAAUAUGACAUGUAGUGGUGGAAUACAUAGAGAUGUCAUAGAACACCGAUUGCGAAGGCAGCUGACGAAACUGUAACUGACACUGAGGCUCGAAAGUGCGGGGAUCAAACAGG